rnacentral:rRNA from 1 species
UACAGAGGUCUCAAGCGUUGUUCGGAUUCAUUGGGCGUAAAGGGUGCGUAGGCGGCGCGGUAAGUCGGGUGUGAAAAUCUCGGAGCUUAACUCCGAAACUGCAUUCGAUACUGCCCGUGCUUGAGGACUGGAGAGGAGACUGGAAUUUACGGUGUAGCGGUGAAAUGCGUAGAUAUCGUAAGGAAAGACCAGUGGCGAAGGCGGCUCACUGGUCCAUAACUGACGCUGAGGCUCGAAAGCGUGGGGAGCGAACAGGA